rnacentral:pre_miRNA from 1 species
UGUGUGUGUGUGUGUGUGUGUGUGUGUGUGUAGUGCUACCUCGUGUUUGUUGUGCCUUUAUCUCCAUAUUCACACACACACACACACACACAUG